rnacentral:rRNA from 1 species
GGCUCCUUGAUUUAAUAAAUAGAUAAGGAGUCGGACCUGCCCGGUGACCUACGGGUUAAACGGCCGCGGUACACUGACCGUGCAAAGGUAGCACAAUCACUUGCCUUUUAAUUGGAGGCUGGUAUGAAUGGUUUGACGAGGGCUGAGCUGUCUCUUUUAGAAUAUUUAAAAAUUAACUUCUAGGUGAAAAGGCCUAGAUUAAACUGAGGGACGAGAAGACCCUGUUGAGCUUUAGUGUGGAGUAAAAGCCUGUAUUUCUAGUUUUGUAGAGGGUCAAGAUUUAUUUUUACAUCUUUAGUUGGGGUGACUGGGGAACAUAAGUAGCUUCUCUGUUAAUUUAUUUAGUUAAGUUUGGCUAACCGGCUGAUGAUCCAGCAAUGUUGAUUAUCGGAAAAAGUUACCACAGGGAUAACAGCGUAAUCUUUCUGGAGAGUUCACAUUGAAAGAAGGGUUUGCGACCUCGAUGUUGGAUUAAGGUGUCCUGAGGGUGUAGCAGCUUUCAUUGGGUUGGUCUGUUCGACCAUUAAAACCUUACA